rnacentral:rRNA from 1 species
UACAUAGGGGGCAAGCGUUGUCCGGAUUCAUUGGGCGUAAAGAGCGUGUAGGCGGCCAGGUAGGUCGGUUGUGAAAACUGGAGGCUCAACCUUCAGAGGUCGACCGAAACCAUCUGGCUAGAGUCCGGGAGAGGAGAGUGGAAUUCCUGGUGUAGCGGUGAAAUGCGCAGAUAUCAGGAAGAACACCCGUGGCGAAAGCGGCCAUCUGGGACAACACUGACGCUGAAGCACGAAAGCGUGGGGAGCAAACAGG